rnacentral:rRNA from 1 species
UACGUAGGGGGGCAAGCGUUGUCCGGAAUCAUUGGGCGUAAAGAGCGUGUAGGCGGCCCGAUAAGUCCGCUGUGAAAGUCCAGGGCUCAACCCUGGAAUGCCGGUGGAUACUGUCGGGCUCGAAUCCGGAAGAGGUGAGUGGAAUUCCUGGUGUAGCGGUGAAAUGCGCAGAUAUCAGGAGGAACACCAAUGGCGAAGGCAGGUCUCUGGGCAUUAACUGACGCUGAGGAGCGAAAGCAUGGGGAGCGAACAGG